rnacentral:rRNA from 1 species
GACAGAGGGUGCAAACGUUGUUCGGAAUUACUGGGCGUAAAGCGAGUGUAGGCGGUCUGAUAAGUCGGGUGUGAAAGCCCUGGGCUCAACCCAGGAAGUGCACUCGAAACUGCCAGGCUAGAGUAUCGGAGAGGUUGGUGGAAUUCUCGGUGUAGAGGUGAAAUUCGUAGAUAUCGAGAGGAACACCGGUGGCGAAGGCGGCCAACUGGACGAUGACUGACGCUGAGACGCGAAAGCGUGGGGAGCAAACAGG